UGAACGCUGGCGGCGUGCCUAAUACAUGCAAGUCGAACGCACAGCGAAAGGUGCUUGCACCUUUCAAGUGAGUGGCGAACGGGUGAGUAACACGUGGACAACCUGCCUCAAGGCUGGGGAUAACAUUUGGAAACAGAUGCUAAUACCGAAUAAAACUUAGUGUCGCAUGACAAAAAGUUAAAAGGCGCUUCGGCGUCACCUAGAGAUGGAUCCGCGGUGCAUUAGUUAGUUGGUGGGGUAAAGGCCUACCAAGACAAUGAUGCAUAGCCGAGUUGAGAGACUGAUCGGCCACAUUGGGACUGAGACAA
rnacentral:rRNA from 1 species